rnacentral:rRNA from 1 species
AUUCCAGCUCCAAUAGCGUAUAUUAAAGUUGUUGCAGUUAAAAAGCUCGUAGUUGGAUUUCUGGUACAAUGCGCCUGGCCCGCGGCGGUUACGCCUGUGAGUGCCGGUGCGCGUUUGCCAUCCUUCUAGAAAACGUUUCUACCCUUAACUGGGCCGGACUCGCGAUCUAGAUCUUUUACUUUGAAAAAAUUAGAGUGUUUAAAGCAGGCUUUUGCUGUGAAUACAUUAGCAUGGAAUAAUAAUCUAGGACUUCGGUUCUAUUUUGUUGGUUUCUAGUACUGAAGUAAUGAUUGAUAGGGAUAGUUGGGGGUGCUAGUAUUGGCCGGCCAGAGGUGAAAUUCUUGGAUUCGGUCAAGACUAACUUAUGCGAAAGCAUUCACCAAGGAUGUCUUCAUCA